AGAGUUUGAUCCUGGCUCAGGAUGAACGCUAGCGGGAGGCUUAACACAUGCAAGUCGAGGGGUAAUCCCGAUUUAUCGGGAACGACCGGCGCACGGGUGAGUAACGCGUAUGCAACCUACCUUUUACAGAGGAAUAGCCCAGAGAAAUUUGGAUUAAUACCUCAUAGCACUGUCAAUUCGCAUGAUUUGACAGUUAAAGUUUCGGCGGUAAAAGAUGGGUAUGCGUGACAUUAGAUAGUUGGCGGGGUAACGGCCCACCAAGUCAGCGAUGUCUAGGGGUUCUGAGAGGAUGAUCCCCCACACUGGUACUGAGACACGGACCAGACUCCUACGGGAGGCAGCAGUGAGGAAUAUUGGUCAAUGGACGCAAGUCUGAACCAGCCAUCCCGCGUGAAGGAUGACGGUCCUAUGGAUUGUAAACUUCUUUUAUGUACCAAGAAUGUGCCCUACGUGUAGGGUUUUGACGGUAGUACAUGAAUAAGCAUCGGCUAACUCCGUGCCAGCAGCCGCGGUAAUACGUAGGAUGCGAGCGUUAUCCGGAUUCAUUGGGUUUAAAGGGUGCGUAGGCGGCUUAUUAAGUCAGUGGUGAAAUCCUGCGGCUCAACCGUAGAACUGCCAUUGAAACUGAUAAGCUUGAAUAUAGUUGAGGUAGGCGGAAUGAGUAGUGUAGCGGUGAAAUGCUUAGAGAUUACUCAGAACACCGAUUGCGAAGGCAGCUUACUAAACUAAUAUUGACGCUGAGGCACGAAAGCGUGGGGAGCGAACAGGAUUAGAUACCCUGGUAGUCCACGCCGUAAACGAUGUUCACUCGCUGCUUGCGAUACAUAGUAAGUGGCCAAGCGAAAGCAUUAAGUGAACCACCUGGGGAGUACGUCGGCAACGGUGAAACUCAAAGGAAUUGACGGGGGCCCGCACAAGCGGAGGAACAUGUGGUUUAAUUCGAUGAUACGCGAGGAACCUUACCUGGGCUUAAAUGUAGAUUGCAUGUGGUGGAAACACCCUUCUCUUCGGAGCUAUCUACAAGGUGCUGCAUGGUUGUCGUCAGCUCGUGCCGUGAGGUGUCGGGUUCAGUCCCAUAACGAGCGCAACCCCUAUCGUUAGUUGCCAUCAGGUUAAGCUGGGGACUCUAACGAGACUGCCACCGUAAGGUGAGAGGAAGGUGGGGAUGACGUCAAAUCAGCACGGCCCUUAUGUCCAGGGCUACACACGUGUUACAAUGGCAGGUACAAAGGGCAGCUACACCGCGAGGUGAUGCUAAUCUCGAAAGCCUGUCUCAGUUCGGAUCGGAGUCUGCAACUCGACUCCGUGAAGUUGGAUUCGCUAGUAAUCGCGUAUCAGCAAUGACGCGGUGAAUACGUUCCCGGGCCUUGUACACACCGCCCGUCAAACCAUGGAAGCUGGGGGGACCUGAAGUCUGUCACCGUAAGGAGCGGCCUAGGGUAAAACCGGUAACUGGGGUUAAGUCU
rnacentral:rRNA from 1 species